rnacentral:rRNA from 1 species
AGAGUUUGAUCCUGGCUCAGAGCGAACGCUGGCGGCAGGCUUAACACAUGCAAGUCGAGCGGGCGUAGCAAUACGUCAGCGGCAGACGGGUGAGUAACGCGUGGGAACGUACCUUUUGGUUCGGAACAACACAGGGAAACUUGUGCUAAUACCGGAUAAGCCCUUACGGGGAAAGAUUUAUCGCCGAAAGAUCGGCCCGCGUCUGAUUAGCUAGUUGGUGAGGUAAUGGCUCACCAAGGCGACGAUCAGUAGCUGGUCUGAGAGGAUGAUCAGCCACAUUGGGACUGAGACACGGCCCAAACUCCUACGGGAGGCAGCAGUGGGGAAUAUUGGACAAUGGGCGCAAGCCUGAUCCAGCCAUGCCGCGUGAGUGAUGAAGGCCCUAGGGUUGUAAAGCUCUUUUGUGCGGGAAGAUAAUGACGNACCGCAAGAAU